ACAAUGGCUUUAGUGGCGGACUGGUGAGUAACGCGUAAGGAACCUGCCUUUUAGAGGGGAAUAACAAUGAGAAAUCAUUGCUAAUACCGCAUAUGCCGAGAGAAUCACAUGGUACAAUCGGGAAAGGAGCAAUUCGCUAAAAGAUGGCCUUGCGUCUGAUUAGAUAGUUGGUGGGGUAACGGCCUACCAAGUCGACGAUCAGUAGCCGGACUGAGAGGUUGAACGGCCACAUUGGGACUGAGAUACGGCCCAGACUCCUACGGGAGGCAGCAGUCGGGAAUAUUGCGCAAUGGAGGAAACUCUGACGCAGUGACGCCGCGUAUAGGAAGAAGGUUUUCGGAUUGUAAACUAUUGUCGUUAGGGAAGAGAAAGGACAGUACCUAAGGAGGAAGCUCCGGCUAACUACGUGCCAGCAGCCGCGGUAAUACGUAGGGAGCGAGCGUUAUCCGGAAUUAUUGGGUGUAAAGGGUGCGUAGACGGGAAGAUAAGUUAGUUGUGAAAUCCCUCGGCUUAACUGAGGAACUGCAACUAAAACUGUUUUUCUUGAGUGCAGGAGAGGUAAGUGGAAUUCCUAGUGUAGCGGUGAAAUGCGUAGAUAUUAGGAGGAACACCAGUGGCGAAGGCGAC
rnacentral:rRNA from 1 species